AAUCAACGCUGGCGGCGUGCCUCAGACAUGCAAGUCGAACGAUUAAAGCUCUCUUCGGAGAGUGUAUAGAGUGGCGCACGGGUGAGUAACACGUAAGUAAUCUACCUUUGAGUGGGGAAUAACAGUCGGAAACGACUGCUAAUACCGCAUAAUGCAGCGGCAUCGCGAGAUGACAGUUGUUAAAGGAGCAAUCCGCUUAAAGAGGAGCUUGCGGCAGAUUAGCUAGUUGGUAAGGUAAUGGCUUACCAAGGCUACGAUCUGUAUCCGGUCUAAGAGGACGGUCGGACACACUGACACUGAAUAACGGGUCAGACUCCUACGGGAGGCAGCAGUCGGGAAUUUUGGGCAAUGGGCGAAAGCCUGACCCAGCAACGCCGCGUGAAGGAUGAAGUAUUUCGGUAUGUAAACUUCGAAAGAAUAGGAAGAAUAAAUGACGGUACUAUUUAUAAGGUCCGGCUAACUACGUGCCAGCCGCCGCAGUAAAAC
rnacentral:rRNA from 1 species